UACCAGCACCCCGAGUUGUCGGGACGAUUAUUGGGCCUAAAGCAUCCGUAGCCUGUUCUGCAAGUCCUCCGUUAAAUCCACCUGCUCAACGGAUGGGCUGCGGAGGAUACCGCAGAGCUAGGAGGCGGGAGAGGCAAACGGUACUCAGUGGGUAGGGGUAAAAUCCAUUGAUCUACUGAAGACCACCAGUGGCGAAGGCGGUUUGCCAGAACGCACUCGACGGUGAGGGAUGAAAGCUGGGGGAGCAAACCGG
rnacentral:rRNA from 1 species